rnacentral:rRNA from 1 species
AAAUUGAAGAGUUUGAUCAUGGCUCAGAUUGAACGCUGGCGGCAGGCCUAACACAUGCAAGUCGAACGGUAGCACAGAGAGCUUGCUCUCGGGUGACGAGUGGCGGACGGGUGAGUAAUGUCUGGGAAACUGCCCGAUGGAGGGGGAUAACUACUGGAAACGGUAGCUAAUACCGCAUAACGUCGCAAGACCAAAGUGGGGGACCUUCGGGCCUCACACCAUCGGAUGUGCCCAGAUGGGAUUAGCUAGUAGGUGGGGUAACGGCUCACCUAGGCGACGAUCCCUAGCUGGUCUGAGAGGAUGACCAGCCACACUGGAACUGAGACACGGUCCAGACUCCUACGGGAGGCAGCAGUGGGGAAUAUUGCACAAUGGGCGCAAGCCUGAUGCAGCCAUGCCGCGUGUAUGAAGAAGGCCUUCGGGUUGUAAAGUACUUUCAGCGAGGAGGAAGGCGUUGUGGUUAAUAACCACAGCGAUUGACGUUACCCGCAGAAGAAGCACCGGCUAACUCCGUGCCAGCAGCCGCGGUAAUACGGAGGGUGCAAGCGUUAAUCGGAAUUACUGGGCGUAAAGCGCACGCAGGCGGUUUGUUAAGUCAGAUGUGAAAUCCCCGGGCUCAACCUGGGAACUGCAUUUGAAACUGGCAAGCUUGAGUCUCGUAGAGGGGGGUAGAAUUCCAGGUGUAGCGGUGAAAUGCGUAGAGAUCUGGAGGAAUACCGGUGGCGAAGGCGGCCCCCUGGACAAAGACUGACGCUCAGGUGCGAAAGCGUGGGGAGCAAACAGGAUUAGAUACCCUGGUAGUCCACGCCGUAAACGAUGUCUACUUGGAGGUUGUGCCCUUGAGGCGUGGCUUCCGGAGCUAACGCGUUAAGUAGACCGCCUGGGGAGUACGGCCGCAAGGUUAAAACUCAAAUGAAUUGACGGGGGCCCGCACAAGCGGUGGAGCAUGUGGUUUAAUUCGAUGCAACGCGAAGAACCUUACCUGGUCUUGACAUCCACGGAAGUUUUCAGAGAUGAGAAUGUGCCUUCGGGAACCGUGAGACAGGUGCUGCAUGGCUGUCGUCAGCUCGUGUUGUGAAAUGUUGGGUUAAGUCCCGCAACGAGCGCAACCCUUAUCCUUUGUUGCCAGCGGUUAGGCCGGGA